AACAAACUAAAACUGAGGGAAACGCAUAAUUAUAAGAGGAGAACAACGACACAACACUACAAUGUAACUAACACACACAGAAACGGACCAAGCAUCAGACAAAAUCCCACGAGAAUAACAAAUAUAACAUCAAAACCAAAUACAUGAAUUUGGGAUAGACAAGUACCGUGACACGUCUUAUCGCAAUGUCAAUUUACAAUCAAAAAUAAGAGAAAAC
rnacentral:lncRNA from 1 species